rnacentral:misc_RNA from 1 species
ACUUCAACUCACUUUCCUCACCUUGAGUGUAUAAUUCCUCAUAAUAAAGCAACACUUCAUUGUUCACCAUUGGAGUACUAAAAAUUUCAUUGCUCACUUUAGAUUUACUAAUAAAAUUUUCCAAUAGAUUUGACAACUCUUCAAAUUGCAAAUUUUUCUCUUGAUCUCCAAAUGGAUGGUCUGUAAUAAUAAGGUGAGAAGUAUAUGGAGGGUAUUGAUGACUCCAAUCCUACAGUGAAUGAUUCCAACAUUGAUAGUCAAAUUCAACAGGUGAAGUACUUCCUCGUGGCUUCUAUGUAAAAGGUGAACACUAGUUGCACAAGCUUCAUUAUCCACCCAACAUCUCGUAGCAUCAUCCAAUCCAUUGUAGAAACAAAACAUAACAAACUGAUUUGAGAAACUGUGAUUUGAAAAUUGUUCUACCAAUUCAUUAAACCUUCUCCAAACGGCAUAGAAUGGCUCCAAGUAUUGUUGAAUAAAACUUGUGAAUACUUGUUGAUGAAGCAUCUUGAAGUAUCUCACAAGAAAACAAAUAAG